rnacentral:rRNA from 1 species
CAACUCCGCGUGAGGGAUGAAGGUCUUCGGAUUGUAAACCUCUGUUGGGUGGGAAGAAACGGUUGUGUGCUAACAUCACAUAGCCUUGACGGUACCACCCGAGGAAGCUCCGGCUAACCACGUGCCAGCAGCCGCGGUAAUACGUAGGGAGCAAGCGUUGUUCGGAAUUACUGGGCGUAAAGGGAGCGUAGGCGGGAGAAUAAGUUAGGAAUUUAAUUUAUCGGCUCAACCGGUAAUCUGCUUUUAAUACUGUUCUUCUUGAGUAUGGGAGAGGAUGAUGGAAUUCCAGGUGUAGCGGUGGAAUGCGUAGAUAUCUGGAAGAACACCAGUUGCGAAGGCGGUCAUCUGGCCCAAUACUGACGCUGAGGCUCGAAAGCGAGGGGAGCAAACAGGAUUAGAUACCCUGGUAGUCCUAGCCGUAAACGAUGGACACUAGAUGUUGGAGGCAUUACGUCUUCAGUGUCGUAGUUAACGCGUUAAGUGUCCCGCCUGGGAAGUACGCUCGCAAGAGUG